CUACGGGUUGCAGCAGUGAGGAAUAUUGCACAAUGGAGGAAACUCUGAUGCAGCAACGCCGCGUGGAGGAUGACGCAUUUCGGUGUGUAAACUCCUUUUAUAUGUCAAGAAAAUGACGGUAGCAUAUGAAUAAGCACCGGCUAACUCCGUGCCAGCAGCCGCGGUAAUACGGAGGGUGCAAGCGUUACUCGGAAUCACUGGGCGGAAAGGACGCGUAGGCGGGAUAUCAAGUCAGGUGUGAAAUCCUACAGCUUAACUGUAGAACUGCACUUGAAACUGGUAACCUAGAGUAUGGGAGGGGGAGAUGGAAUUAGUGGUGUAGGGGUAAAAUCCGUAGAUAUCACUAGGAAUACCUAAAGCGAAGGCGAUCUCCUGGAACAUAACUGACGCUAAGGCGUGAAAGCGUAGGGAGCAAACAGGAUUAGAUACCCCCGUAGUC
rnacentral:rRNA from 1 species